rnacentral:rRNA from 1 species
UACAGAGGUCCCAAGCGUUGUUCGGAUUCACUGGGCGUAAAGGGUGCGUAGGUGGUGAGGUAAGUCGGAUGUGAAAGCUCCGAGCUCAACUCGGAAAUGGCAUUGGAAACUACCUUGCUCGAGGGUUUGAGGGGGACUGGAAUACUUGGUGUAGCAGUGAAAUGCGUAGAUAUCAAGUAGAACACCAGUGGCGAAGGCGAGUCCCUGGAAAACUCCUGACACUGAGGCACGAAAGCUAGGGGAGCAAACAGG